CUUCGGGGUGAGUAGAGCGGCGGACGGGUGAGUAACGCGUAGGAAUCUACCCAGUAGUGGGGGACAACUAGUGGAAACGCUAGCUAAUACCGCAUACGCCCUAAGGGGGAAAGCGGGGGACCUUCGGGCCUCGUGCUAUUGGAUGAGCCUGCGUAAGAUUAGCUUGUUGGUGGGGUAAUGGCCCACCAAGGCGACGAUCUUUAGCUGGUCUGAGAGGAUGAUCAGCCACACCGGGACUGAGACACGGCCCGGACUCCUACGGGAGGCAGCAGUCGGGAAUAUUGCGCAAUGGGGGAAACCCUGACGCAGCCAUGCCGCGUGUGUGAAGAAGGCCCUAGGGUUGUAAAGCACUUUCAAUUGGGAGGAAAAGCUAAUGGUUAAUAACCAUUAGCCCUGACGUUACCUUUAGAAGAAGCACCGGCUAACUCCGUGCCAGCAGCCGCGGUAAUACGGAGGGUGCAAGCGUUAAUCGGAAUUACUGGGCGUAAAGCGCGCGUAGGCGGUUUUUUAAGUCGGAUGUGAAAGCCCCGGGCUCAACCUGGGAACUGCAUCCGAUACUGGAUGACUAGAAUGCGGGAGAGGGAGGUAGAAUUCCAUGUGUAGCAGUGAAAUGCGUAGAUAUAUGGAGGAAUACCAGUGGCGAAGGCGGCCUCCUGGCUCGACAUUGACGCUGAGGUGCGAAAGCGUGGGGAGCAAACGGGAUUAGAUACCCCGGUAGUCCACGCCGUAAACGAUGUCUACUAGCUGUAGGGGUACUUGAGACCUUUGUAGCGCAGCUAACGCAAUAAGUAGACCGCCUGGGGAGUACGGCCGCAAGGUUAAAACUCAAAUGAAUUGACGGGGGCCCGCACAAGCAGUGGAGCAUGUGGUUUAAUUCGAUGCAACGCGAAGAACCUUACCAGGCCUU
rnacentral:rRNA from 1 species